GUGUGGGCCCGCGGCAUAGACAGCCGAGCUGGAUAUUACGGCCGUAUGACUAAAUUUAAAGGCGGAGGCUGCGUGCACCGGAGUCAGAUUUGACGGCCCCCUUUAAAGAUAAACUCAAUAUCGAUAUUUAAGGCCACGCCCAAACGAGACGCCUCAAAUCGUGGAAGUCUAUAUCUUCCAAUAAAAGACCUUGAAAUGAAUAUAAAAAUAAAAAAAAAAUAUUUUUGUAAUAAAAUAGUAUGCUUGAAAGCUCUUCCCAUA